CCUACGGGUGGCAGCAGUGGGGAAUAUUGCACAAUGGGCGCAAGCCUGAUGCAGCCAUGCCGCGUGUGUGAAGAAGGCCUUCGGGUUGUAAAGCACUUUCAGCGGGGAGGAAGGCGGUGAGGUUAAUAACCUCAUCGAUUGACGUUACCCGCAGAAGAAGCACCGGCUAACUCCGUGCCAGCAGCCGCGGUAAUACGGAGGGUGCAAGCGUUAAUCGGAAUUACUGGGCGUAAAGCGCACGCAGGCGGUCCGUCAAGUCGGAUGUGAAAUCCCCGGGCUCAACCUGGGAACUGCAUUCGAAACUGGCAGGCUAGAGUCUUGUAGAGGGGGGUAGAAUUCCAGGUGUAGCGGUGAAAUGCGUAGAGAUCUGGAGGAAUACCGGUGGCGAAGGCGGCCCCCUGGACAAAGACUGACGCUCAGGUGCGAAAGCGUGGGGAGCAAACAGGAUUAGAUACCCCGGUAGUC
rnacentral:rRNA from 1 species